rnacentral:lncRNA from 1 species
UUUUUUGUGAAAAUGACUGAUAUUAAUAUUAACAGGCUUAAAAGGAGUAGCUAAAAGGCCACCAAAACAGACAAAAAAGAAAAUCACAACUGUCCAAUAUAAAAGAAAAUUAAAAACUACGCCUAGAAAGUAACGAAACAUCAAUAAGCAAAAAAUGCGUGAGCCUGCAACAAAACUUUUCAAUCUCCAUUAUCAGCCACAGCAGGGCUCCAUUUCCUUCGUAUUAUCGAUCAGAGACCCAGAGCCAGCAACGCUUUGCAAACAAUAUUAGAGAUUCAAUGAACCUUCUCUAACUCAAAGCGAACAUAUGGAACUUAGGUCCGUUGGCACCAUCGUAACCAGUCUUCCUCCACCACCAGUCGCACAGUCUCCGGUAUUCCAUUAACCCAGGCCCCACACACUUUCCGAUGUCGACUUUCCACUGCCAAAAUAUGGGCUACAGCGUUAAGCGGACGGUUCACAAACUUGUAAGAGACUUCAUCAAAGCCCUGGCGCAAUCUAUGAAUAUUAUGAACAAUCGACCUAAUAAUCGAUCUAUCUUCCUCAUUUUUAAUCAGUUUUUUAAUGACUGUCAGGGAGUCCCCUUCCACAAUCAACCGUUGAAAGCCCUUCAAUUUUGCGAGGAUCAGCGCUCUUUCACAAGCUCGUGCUUCCGCCACGAAUGCGUCAUCCACACCUUCCACCAGAUAAGUAACUGCUUCUAUAACUUCCCCUCUGUGAUUUCUGGCUAAGAUUGCUAUUGUCGCAAAAUUAUUUCCUGAAAUAUACGACGCAUCAAAAUUAAUUUUAAUAAAACCAUAGUCAGGAGGCCUCCAGACUUCAUUUCUCAUAAGAGCAGUAGAAUCACAUAGAUUCUCACGAACAAGCCAUGGAUCUCGCUCAUAGCCCCUGAUAAAUCCCAAUAGUUGUGGCAUAGAAAGCUUAAUCCCCUCAUGAACCAACUUAUUUCUAUGAAACCAGAAACACCAAAGAGUUAAAGCAAUAAACCUUUUUUUCGACCUUCUGCUUCAAGAUAUGUUUUAACAAAAUUAGCCUUAUAAUCCAGGGAAUCGUCCAAAGGGGGAAUUUGAACUUGCAACGAUGUCCAUAUAUUUCGAAGGACCCUACAAGACCCCAACAAAUGCGCUGUGGUUUCUAGAUCUUCCUUACACAGUGGGCAUACAGCCUCCUCACAUAGUGUUCGGCGUGCCAAGUUCCCAUAGUGUGGCACCAUGUUAUUGAACAAUCUCCAAACAUGUAUUUUUAUUUUCUCUGGAAUAUGCAAAGCCCAGAUAUCCAUGUAAAAACUUUUGUAUUAUUCAUUUGUAGAGGACAUGUGUAGAUUGCUCUGUAAAUAAUCUGUAAUAAGAACUCGAUACCCACUCCUGACAGUAUACUCACCUGAGCCUUCAUACUUCCAUACCAACAUAUUCUCUGGUCGGCUUUCAGAGAUGGGAAUGUCAAAGAUUCGAUUAGCAGUGUUAUCAUCCACUAGAUUGUGAAUCAACUCUCUAUUCCAGGUACUGUCUUCUUCAUUCAUUAACUAAUUCACUGUUGACCAAGGAGGCUUAAUUUCAAUAACUGGGAUUCUGUUAUUCUCUCUUCCAGGCAGCCAGGGGUCAUUCCAAAUGUUGAUACUUGCACCAUUUCCUACACGCCACAAGAUUCCAUCACUGAUCAGGUCCCGCGCACUACAAAUACUUCUCCAAGUAAAUGAAGGGUAAGAACCAACCUUUGCUGUUAGUAUAGUGGAAAGAGGGAAAUAACGGGCUUUUAAAACCUUGGCUAAUAAACAAUGGGGCUAGGUUAAAAUACGCCACACCUGCUUCGUUAAAAGGGCCUUAUUAAACAAGAAUAAAUUUUUAAACCCCAGCUCUCUAAAACUUUUCGGUUUAUACAGAACAUCCCACGAACUCCAAUGAAUCCCCUUCGAUGUUUUAUUAUUCGUCCACCAGAAUCGAUUCAUUAUUCCUUCCAAUGUUUUACAUAAUGACUUUGGCAAUAAAAAACACUGCAUAGCAUAAAUUGAAGUUGACUGCAAAACUGAUUUAAUGAAAACCUCCUUAUCCCCCAUUGAAAGAUAACGCAUACUCCACCCCUCCACCCAUUUUCUGAAUCGGUCCACAAAGUUAGCAAAAGCCCACUUUUUCCUCCUACCCACCAUCAUAGGCAAACCGAGAUACUUUUCAGGAUUUGAGGCCAGACGUACCCUUAAUAAAUUAACAAUAUCCUUCUGAACACUAGAGACGACAUUUGUAGCGAAAUAAAUGAGGGAUUUUUCAAAAUUCACUCUCUGCCCCGAGACCGUCUCAUAUUCAUGGAUAAUAGCCCGAACCACUUCAGCUCCUUCACAGGAGGCAUCACCAAAAAGAAUGCAAUCAUCUGCAAAAAAUAAGUGGUUGACCGAAAACUUCUCUCUACCUAUAGGUGCCCCCAUCAUCAUCCAUUUAGUUUUAGCUUCCUGAAUGAGCAGCGAAAACCCUUCAGCACAAAUCAAGAAUAAAUAAGGACUAAGAGGGUCUCCUUGUCUGAGUCCUCUCGAUGGUGUGAACCAGUCCCCGCUAGCUCCAUUAAUACUAAUAGAGUACGUGACAGAGCAUACACAACGCAUGACAAGAACGAUCCAAUCCUCAUGAAAACCCAGGUGCUUCAUCAUACCUGCCAAAAAAUCCCAUUCCACACGAUCAUACGAUUUACUCAUAUCUAGUUUAAACGCAAAGUUGUCUUUCUUACCUCUCUUUUUCAUUUUUAGGGAAUGAAGUAUCUCAUAAGCAAUCAGUACAUUAUCAGAUAUAAGCCUACCUGGAAUAAAGGCCUUUUGAGCUUCAUUAAUACAAGACCCCAGUGUUUCGCUCAUCCUCAAUACCAACACUUUUGCUAUAAUUUUGUAAAUGACAUUACAAAGCCUGAUAGGCCUAAAAUGAGUCAUGUUACUCGAUUUUUCAACCUUUGGAAUCAGGAUAAUGCGCGUUUUGUUAAUAACACUCAAAUCCUCUUGUCCCUGUAGAACGGAUAAACAAAAGCGGGUAACCUCAGGCCCAACAAUGUGCCAAUAACGCUGAAAGAAGAGGGCCAGAAACCCAUCCAACCUAGGGGCUUUCAAAGGCGUCAAGGAUUUGACUGCAUAGACAAUGUCCUCCUCCGUAAAUUGUCUUAAGAGCCUUUCAUUCAUACUACUAGUAACUUUUUCCUCUACUAAGCUAAACAAAUGCUCAUCCGAACCUGACUCUGAAGCAGAGAAAAGCUUACCAAAAUAGUCAGAAGCUACCUGGAGGAACUCCUCAGUGGAAUUAGUACUUCUCCCAGCUCCAUCUUCUAGUUCAGAAAUUCUACAACGAAAGUGACGUUGGACAGCUACCUUGUGAAAAAAGCUGGUAUUACGAUCCCCAUUCUUUAGCCAAUUCACCCACGCACGCUGCUCCUAAAAUAAUUCCUCCUUUUCAGCUUCCAACUUAACCCCCAAUUGGACCUCUAUAAUCUCAGCUAGAACUUCAUCUGACGGAUCUUGAGUGUAAAGAUUCAUUAAUCUGUCUUCUAAACGGAACCGAUUCCUCCGCUCCUUAAUACUAUUCAC